rnacentral:rRNA from 1 species
AUGAACGCUGGCGGCGUGCCUAAUACAUGCAAGUCGAGCGAACAGACGAGGAGCUUGCUCCUCUGACGUUAGCGGCGGACGGGUGAGUAACACGUGGAUAACCUACCUAUAAGACUGGGAUAACUUCGGGAAACCGGAGCUAAUACCGGAUAAUAUAUUGAACCGCAUGGUUCAAUAGUGAAAGACGGUUUUGCUGUCACUUAUAGAUGGAUCCGCGCCGCAUUAGCUAGUUGGUAAGGUAACGGCUUACCAAGGCAACGAUGCGUAGCCGACCUGAGAGGGUGAUCGGCCACACUGGAACUGAGACACGGUCCAGACUCCUACGGGAGGAAGCAGUAGGGAAUCUUCCGCAAUGGGCGAAAGCCUGACGGAGCAACGCCGCGUGAGUGAUGAAGGUCUUCGGAUCGUAAAACUCUGUUAUUAGGGAAGAUCAAAUGUGUAAGUAACUAUGCACGUCUUGACGGUACCUAAUCAGAAAGCCACGGCUAACUACGUG